CCCGUAUUUAUAGUCGAGUCUCAAGACAGCGUCGAUGCUCAAGACCGACCUUGAACCAAAUUUGUGUUUUAUAAACCGAUCUCGAGACACGACGCUGUCUUGGGAAGUGUAAAAUGACAGCCGAAUCUCAAGUCAUCGAUCGACCUUCCUCAAGACCGCGAUUCUAACCUAACUUUAGUUUAUUGAUAAUAUUGGAGAAGAAAAUCGCCCGGGAAGUAUACAAAAGCGAUAUAUUCAAGAUAAAAAUAUAAUCUAAAA
rnacentral:lncRNA from 1 species